GAUGAACGCUGGCGGCGUGCUUAACACAUGCAAGUCGAACGAUGAAGCCCAGCUUGCUGGGUGGAUUAGUGGCGAACGGGUGAGUAACACGUGAGCAACCUGCCCCUGACUCUGGGAUAAGCGCUGGAAACGGCGUCUAAUACUGGAUAUGUCCCGUCACCGCAUGGUGUGCGGGUGGAAAGAUUUUUCGGUUGGGGAUGGGCUCGCGGCCUAUCAGCUUGUUGGUGAGGUAAUGGCUCACCAAGGCGUCGACGGGUAGCCGGCCUGAGAGGGUGACCGGCCACACUGGGACUGAGACACGGCCCAGACUCCUACGGGAGGCAGCAGUGGGGAAUAUUGCACAAUGGGCGGAAGCCUGAUGCAGCGACGCCGCGUGAGGGAUGACGGCCUUCGGGUUGUAAACCUCUUUUAGCAGGGAAGAAGCGAAAGUGACGGUACCUGCAGAAAAAGCACCGGCUAACUACGUG
rnacentral:rRNA from 1 species